GGCAAAUCUGCUCUAAUUCUGAGUCUGACUGCAACCUGAUCGCCUGUUUAAUAUUACGUAGAUUUUUUUUUUAAGUCGCUGUGCUUCUGACAGCAGAAUUUCAUGGACAAGGUGAACAAAAAAACAGACAAACUAUACUACUGACUUCAACUCCCACAUUGCACAGGCAGACGGACGGUCUUGGGUUCAUUGGGGCUGAAGUGCUUAUGAUGGGGCUGAAGUGCGAUAUUGAUG